rnacentral:sRNA from 1 species
GCCAGGCACUGUGGUGCAUGCCUGUAAUCCCAGUGGCUCUGGAGGCUGAGGCAGGAGGACCACAAGUCCAAAGCCAGCCUCAGCAAAAGUGAGGUGCUUACAACUCAGUGAGACCCUGUCUCUA